rnacentral:rRNA from 1 species
UACGUAGGGGGCAAGCGUUGUCCGGAAUCAUUGGGCGUAAAGAGCGUGUAGGCGGUCCGGUAAGUCGGCUGUGAAAGUCCAGGGCUCAACCCUGGGAUGCCGGUCGAUACUGCCGGACUAGAGUUCGGAAGAGGCGAGUGGAAUUCCCGGUGUAGCGGUGAAAUGCGCAGAUAUCGGGAGGAACACCUAUGGCGAAGGCAGCUCGCUGGGACGGUAUUGACGCUGAGACGCGAAAGCGUGGGGAGCAAACAGG